AACCAAAAGUUGGGUUAAGGCGCCUAACUACUUGCUCAUGAGUCACCACAAAAGGUGUUGAUUGAUAUUGACAGCAGGACGGUGGUCAUGGAAGUUGAAAACCGCUAAGGAAUGUGUAACAACUCACCUGCCGAAUCAAUCAGCCCUGAAAAUGGAUGGCACUAGAGCUCGUGGCCUAUACCUGACCAUGAACAUCAGAUUCUGGCUUCGGCUGGAUGCUUAAGACUGGUUUAGAACUGGUCUUAAAGUAUGUUCAUGUGUAGGAGGACGCAUUGGUUGCGCAAAAGUGUAUACGUGAGUAUAUGCUCGAAGCGGCCAAUGGAGCAGAUCUUGGUGGAAGUAGCAAGUACUCAAAUGAGAACUUUGAGGACUGAAGCGGGAAAGGUUUUCAUGUGAACAGCAUUUGCACAUGAGUUAGUCGAUUCUAAAAGACAGGCUAAGGCCAAAGUCUUGAAUAGUGGUUUUUUGAAAACUGCUGAGUCUCGAAAGAGCAUCGGGUUAAAAUUCCCGAACUUACUCUCUUGGCAUUACGACGGCAACGUCAUCUCAGUCGAAUUUAGUCAUUGGGACCUUGGGGAAGAGUUAUCUUUUCUUUAUAACAUGCAGUAGAGACCUUGGAAUUGAAUCAAUCAGAGAUAAGGCUCGAACCAUGAAAGAGUGUUUCAGCAUUUGAAGCAUCCCAAUUGUUCCUGGUGGCACGUAAAAAUUCGGCCCAGCUAAUGUCAGGAGAGUGAAUCGUACCAAUUACCGCAUCAGGUCCCCAAGGUGAAAAGCCUCUGGUCUUGGAACAGUGUAGAUAAGGGAAGUCGGCAAAAUUGAUCCGUACCUUCGGAAGAAGGAUUGGCUCUGAGGAAUGGGUGUGACAAGCCUUUAGCUUGAAGUCUCGAUAUGCUAAAGCGUACGAUGGCUCUUCGGAGUUGUUGGCGUUUGGCGCAUCGAUGAUGGAUAUGCUUUAGGUCAAAUCUGUCGCACAUUAAACGUUCAAACUCUGAACUGGUUUGGACAAGGGGAAUCCGACUGUUUAAUUAAAACAAAGCAUUGCGAUGGCUGGUGAAACGGUUCUGACGCAAUGUGAUUUCUGCCCAGUGCUCUGAAUGUCAAAGUGAAGAAAUUCAAAUAAGCGCGGGUAAACGGCGGGAGUAACUAUGACUCUCUUAAGGUAGCCAAAUGCCUCGUCAUCUAAUUAGUGACGCGCAUGAAUGGAUUAACGAGAUUCCUACUGUCCCUAUCUACCAUCCAGCGAAACCACAGCUUUGGGAACGGGCAAAGCCUAAUCAGUGGGGAAAGAAGACCCUGUUGAGCUUGACUCUAG
rnacentral:rRNA from 1 species